AUCGCUUCUCGGCCUUUUGGCUAAGAUCAAGUGUAAAACAUAAUGCUGAGGUACUAGGUUUUGGCAAAGGACCUUAUAUCCACUAGGAUCUCAAAAUUAUGUUUGCACUUUGGAAUCCUGACUCCACUUUGGUUUUGGUCUGUGAUAUUUCUCUUAUUUGAUUACAAGUUUGGAUAAAAGGGAGGUGUAUU